CCAGGUCUGUUCACACCAGGUCUGUUCACACAGGUUCUGUUCACACCGGGUCAGUUCACACCAGGUCAGUUCACACCAGGUCAGUUCAAACAGGGUCAGUUUACACCAGGUCUUCUCACACCAGGUCAGUUCAGACCAGGUCAGUUUACACCAGGUCAGUUCACACCAGGUCUGUUCACACCGGGUCUCUUCACACCGGGUCUGUUCACACCAGGUCAGUUCACACCGGGUCUGUUCACACCUGAUCUGUUAAAUUAAACAUGUUUAUUUUCAUACUUUAGUCCCUUGUUGAUAAAUGAUGAUUCUCUAAAUAUAAAUUAGAAAGUUGUGUCCUGCUCCUCAUGGUCAUGGUCAUGUGACGAGCAGCUGAUGUCAGCGCCGGACGUUAAAGAUGUACCUGCGUUUAUCUCAGGCUGGAGGGAGGUCGGACAAAGAAAAGAUGGCUGAUGUCACAUGCUGCUAUUUAUACGAUGUAAGUUAUUUUUAUGAGUGACUUGCAUGAGGUGUGCGUGUGUGUUUAAGUGUUAGGUUGAUGUGUGUAAUAGCAUCUGCAUGAGUUUGAAUUCCUUCUCUGACCAGUGACUAUCUGUGAGACAUGAUCCAUGUGUGUGAGCGUGUGGUGAUAUUUACAGAUUUCAACACCUCCGGUCACAUGUCGCUCUCUGUGGCACUUUGACCACAAAUAACCACUGAACCACACGAGGUUGAACACAGUGGUACCUGAAAGGUGAGUAAAGUAAACGUACCUAAACUCGUUGGCAUAAAGAAGUAACGUGUCAUAUUUCCUGUGAGGCUGUAAAUGAAUGCAGGUGAUGACAUCAUCAAUCACCUGUCGCCGGUCAUGAUGACAUGAUGACAUACGAGGAUUCCAGAGGAGCGACAGCGUGGCUGCAGACGAGCUGCAGGUCAGAGGUCACGAGGAGGGUGGAGUCUGCAGUGUGUGUGACCUCUGAUACGUGUGCAUGUGUAGAGGACGGAGUGUGCACGGAGACGAUGAGAAUUUGAACUUUGGGGCAGAGACGAAGACGAAGACGAAGACGAGUUUUCUGUCGAUGUAAAAGUUCUGCAAAGUUAAAAAUACAAAAUUCUGUGAAGGGAGGAGCUCCUCCUGAACGUCAGAACCACACCUCCUCAGCUGCACGAUGUCAUGUGACCAGUUUCCAGGUUGGACGACGUGUUUUCUCCUAACGCCCUGAAAGGGGUUGACCAAUCGCAACAGAGAGCACCAGCCGACCAAUCAGAGCAGACUGGGCUUUAUUAGGAGGAGGGUCUUAAAGGGACAGGAGCUAGAAGAGUUUGAGACAGAGGCUGAAAAGAGGAGCUGCAGCGAUGGACAGUGAUGGACGUUAGGGCAUGAAAACAUUUUACAUUAACAUCAACAAAUGAUCAACCUGAAUAUGAGCAGAACCUGAGUUUCUCUCUUCUGCUGAGUUCAACUGUGAAUAAAGGAUCUUCAAUAAGGAGUCAAAUGUAAACCAGUGUGACCUGUGAAGCUGGAGGGCUGCCCCCUACAGGAUUCUGUGGAAUUACAUUCAUCUUUAAAUCCUCUGCUUAUUUCAGGCUGACGUCUCUCGGCUGCUUCUUCUGAUACAACACAAAUCAGAUGUGUGUGUGUGUGUGUGUGUGUAUGUGUGUGUGUGUGCGUGUGUGUGACUAAGUCACAGGUGUUUCUCAGGAAUAGAAAGAUGACAUAAUACUGUGACAGGCAGUGUGAUGACACAGAGGAGUGUGUGUGUGUCUGUAGAAUAUAAAGAUUUUGUGACAGGAAUUGUGUCAAAGUGCGAGAACAGGGUGGAUAAAGAAUCAUGUGUCAAUGCUUAGUUAUGUCUGUAUGCGUGUGUGUUUGUGUGUGUGUGUGUGUGUGUGUGUGUGUGUGUGUGUGUGUGUGUGUGUGUGUGUGUGUGUGUGUGUCUGUCUGUGUCCGUGUCCGUGUUUUAUGGCAGCAGGUGGGUGACAGCAUGUUGUAUGUAUGUCAAAUAUGCUGUUACUUCAACGUCAGGGUAACUUUGUCUGAGUAGGUCACUGUGUGAGUGUGUGUGUGUGUCUGUGUAUUUGUGUCUCCUCACAUGUCUAUUGACACUUGUGUCUUUGUUGAGUUUAUUUUGUGUCUUAUCAGCACAGUUUAGUGUCUUUAACACAUCUAAAGUGUGUGAUCUUAGAUAUCUGACGUGUUUGAAACAAUAACUUAAUAACAGACUUUGUAUUUUCAAACCUGUAAGUUUCUCUUUGUCGUAUCAGUUUCUCUGCUCGAGUCUUUAUAUAAAACUCCCAUGAUCCCACGCUGCUUUUUCCACAGCAACAAUAUCUAUGUAUUGUUUCUGUCGACUGUAAAUAAAGAUGGACGACAUGACAGCUCCCGAAAGCGAAGCCAGAUCAUCUGGAUCGCCCCCUGGUGGCUGGCUGAAGUACA